UCAAUAGGAAGGGGUAAAAUCCUUUGAUCUAUUGAUGACCACCUGUGGCGAAGGCGGUGUACCAGAACACGUUCGACGGUGAGGGAUGAAAGCUGGGGGAGCAAACCGGAUUAGAUACCCGGGUAGUCCCAGCUGUAAACGAUGCAGACUCGGUGAUGCAUUGGCUUGUGGCCAAUGCAGUGCCGCAGGGAAGCCGUUAAGUCUGCCGCCUGGGAAGUACGUACGCAAGUAUGAAACUUAAAGGAAUUGGCGGGGGAGCACCACAAGGGGUGAAGCCUGCGGUUCAAUUGGAGUCAACGCCAGAAAUCUUACCUGGGGCGACAGCAGAAUGAAGGUCAAGCUGAAGACUUUACCAGACAAGCUGAGAGGUGGUGCAUGGCCGUCGCCAGCUCGUGCCGUGAGAUGUCCUGUUAAGUCAGGUAACGAGCGAGACCCCUGCGUCUAGUUGCUACCAUUACUCUCUGGAGUAGUGGAGCGAAUUAGACGGACCGCCACAGUUAAUGUGGAGGAAGGAAGGGGCCACGGCAGGUCAGUAUGCCCCGAAACCCUAGGGCUACACGCGGGCUGCAAUGGUAUUGACAAUGUGUUCCGAAUCCGAAAGGAGGAGGCAAUCAUCAAACGAUACCUCAGUUAUGACUGAGGGCUGUAACUCGCCCUCACGAAUAUGGAAUCCCUAGUAACUGCGCGUCACUACCGCGCGGUGAAUACGUCCCUGCUCCUUGCACACACCGCCCGUCGUUUCAUCGAAGUUGGCCUUUAGUGAGGUAGUGUCUUGUUGGCAUUAUCGAGCUUGAGGUCAGUGACGAGGGAAAAGUCGUAACAAGGUA
rnacentral:rRNA from 1 species